AACAGCUCCUUCGUAAGCAACAACGCAACCGGAGCGUACGACUGCGACGCCGGCGCGCUUUAUCUGGACGAUUCUACGCGCUUAACCGGCGACACGUUCUCAUCGAAUACGUGCAUCGCAACCGGUAGCACCGGCGAAUAUACGUACGCAUACGGCGGCGCCGUCGAGACCGAUAGCGCACAAGUA
rnacentral:rRNA from 1 species